CUGUGUCUUUUAGUGAUCCAGUGAAGAGAUCUGGAAAUUUAGUAGCACUCGUGGAUCUAGCACUGUGCAAGAAACUGGGCUGUGCUGCUGAAUGUUCACAUAUGAUGUUUUCUGAGAGCUCUCUUGGGAAACUGAGCCAAUCACACAAUGAGGAAGAAUGGGAAAAGAAGAAAGUCAGCAGGGCCACGAUCAGCAUAAGGCAUGCUUGAGCAGCUUCUGAGGGUCCAACAUCCCAGAAGGAACCACUGCCAUUGCCUGUCCUAGGUCUCUGGAAAUGUUUGGGCUCAGCAUCAACCAGUGAUUGCCAGUUGGAUGCGCCCCCUUCCCAUUACCUGGGAAGCAGAUCUUUUCCCCAUUCGCACUGAGCUCGCAGCAGCAACAAUCUCAUUUUAUCAGGGGCCCAUAUAGCACUGUGUGGGCUUUGUGAGGGAGACAAGGAAAAGGAGGAGAAAUUUAAAAGAAAUCUAUGAUUGUCAAUUUUUAUUCUUUGCUCUUCUUGUUAGCUCUUUCACUAUUGUUUUUUGCCAUUUACUUUAAUUUUGCUUCUGUUGUACUUCAUUGUUGUUAAGUGCCUUGUUGGCAGAAAGACAGUAUACCAGUCUUAAAUAAAUAAAUAAUCACCAUG